CGGAAGGAUCAUGAAUGAAUCCACCCACGCAAAGGGUUGUCGCUGGCCUCCAGAGGAGAGGCAUGUGCACACCUGGAGCACCCCUUUUUAAUCCCCUCACAACCUAACAAUGUAGAAUGUAUGUUCUUUGGGUAACAAGCACAACUUUCAGCAACGGAUCUCUUGGCUCUUGCAUCGAUGAAGAACGCAGCGAAAUGCGAUAAGUAAUGUGAAUUGCAGAAUUCAGUGAAUCAUCGAAUCUUUGAACGCACCUUGCGCCCCUUGGUAUUCCGAGGAGCAUGCCUGUUUGAGUGUCAUGAAAUUCUCAACUGCUUCAACCUCGUGGUUGCAGCGAAGUUGGACUUUGGAGGGUUAUUGCUGGUUUUCAUAAGCUGGCUCCUCUUGAACUUUAUCGAGCAUUCUGGGAGCACGGUAACAUUGAUGUAGUAAUGACUUGCAUCGUUGUGAAAAGUGCCCCCAGAAAGCUCCCUCUGGUGCCUUCAAUGGCUUGGACAACCUCUUUGACCUCAAAUCAGGUAGGACCACCCGCCGAACUUAAGCAUAUCAAUAAGCGGAGGAAAAGAAACUAACAAGGAUUCCCUUAGUAACUGCGAGUGAAGCGGGAAAAGCUCAAAUUUGGAAUCUGGCGUGCCAUCCUGGCCGUCCGAGUUGUAGUCUGGAGAAGCGUCAUCUGUGCUGGACCGUGUACAA
rnacentral:rRNA from 1 species